AUUUAGAUAUAUUUUUAAGAUGGAAAAACACAGUUUUACAGAUGCUAGAAACAUGAUUUUCGAAGGAAAUUCUGGGCUAACUAUCAAAGAUGGAUUUUAUACAGGAUUCGAACACCCAUGUAUUUUUCAGCUCUCUGCUUGUUUUUUUCCCCCCGGAAUGUAUCAAGCAAAAUCGAUUCAAGAAUUUGAGUGAACUUCAUAAGGAUUGUACUGAGGCUGGGGUCAAGGCAUCAAGAGGCACCACAAGGUGUGAUGUGUCAAGGAAUUUAUCUACAGUUGUCGUAUUCUUCUUGUUAAGCCACUCCUAAACUACAGACAAUGUCAGAGGGGUCUUACCUGGGCUAAAAUAAAACUGGACUGUUGCCCAAUGGUCCAAAGUCCUCUUUUUAGAUGAGAGAAAUUUUUGGAUUUCAUUUGGAAACCAAGGUCCAUAGCUCAAUUUUCCUGAAACCCAGUGUUAAGUUUCCAGGUCUGUGAUGAUUUGGGUUGAAGGGUCAUUUGCUGGUGUUGGUCCAUUGUGCUUUUUGAAACAUCACUGCACCAAUUUAGCAUGAGAUUUUGGAGCACUUCAUGUUUCUUUCUGCUUACCUCCAUGCCACGUCGGAUUGAGGCAGUAAUUAAAGAAAAAUGAGUACAGUAAAUAAACAUACUUUCCAGAAGGCCAAUAAUUCGCUUUUUUAUUGGUAUUAGGAAGUAUUCAAAUUUUUUGAGAGUGAAUUGGUGGGUUUUUGUUAAAUGUGAGUCUAAAAUGUUACAAUUAAAAUAAUUAAACUGCUUCAGUCUGUGUGCAAUGAAUUAAAUUAAUACACAAGUUCACAAUUUAAGUUGAAUUACUGAAAUAAAUGAACCUUUCCGUGACAGUUUAAAUUAUUGAGAUGCGGGCUAGCCAGCCAGAUCUAAUUUUUUCUAUAAGAUAAACAUAUUAGUGCAUUUCUAUUGUUUUGUCAAUAAACCUUAACCUAUCCCCAAACCUAAACCAACCCAUUUUAUAGCAAAUAUGGAUUUGUAUAAUUUCAUCAAUAAGCAAGUUAGAUUUUUAAACCCCUUAACCUAAAGCCAAACCAACCAAUUUUUUAUCGAAUAUAAAACGCAAUUGACCACAAUAUGCAAGAAUAUAACAAUUUUCCUAGUUUUUAAAUGCAAUUACAAUAAUUUAUUGAUUGCAUAAAUGUUAAAAGCUGUACCAAAGGUAAUCCAAAUGACAAUGUUUUGCAGCCACAGUCCUCCCUGGCGGAAUACAGUAGGCUGGUGAAAGGUGCAGAGCAGAAUUUAUGUUGUUAAUCACUGAACAUAUUUUCCCGAUCCUCUCUCUUCUGUGAACUUGUGAAACAUGCGCAUCAUUUCAAUACACCUAGCCAGAAACACAGCAUGUGGCAAUCUGUGAUGAAUGCAAGCAAGAGCCAGUGAGUAUCCUGUGGUAAAGAUUUGAAUUUGUAGUGAGUGCAUCAGACAGGAGCGGGUUUUGCUGUUUAUGGUCUCUAGUUUCACUGAUGAAGAUCGCCGAAUAAAGCCAUGGAUUUGGGUGUGCUCCUCUCAGUCGUAUGAAUGUGGAAGAUUUGGAUUACUGUUUCAUUUUGUAAUCAUGUGCAUGUUUGGUGUAUUUUUAUAGUUCUAUUAUCAGUUACAUGUCAGAGAAAAUGCCUUUUCUUGCCCAUAGAAUGUAAGUUGUACAUUAAAUGACGAAUAAAUAUUGUUUAAUUUAAAUGUUCAAAAUGGAGUCUUGUUUAACAUUAUAAAGGCCUGUUUUUGGAAAUGAGCUGGCAGCAGAAAUUUCAUAUUAAGUAAACAGUUUAAUAACGCAGUUGCAAACAAGGUUAAAAAAAUAAUAAAAUUAAAGUCACGAUUUUAAUAUGCAUACAAAUCUAUUUUUAGGUGUAGCUAAAAGCUAAAAGCUUUAAGUUCACCUGAAAAAAAAAAAAAAAACUCUUUCAUUGUAAUCCUAAUCUGUAAAGAUGACUUCUGUCUAAAGGCGCAUCCAUGAAGAGAUGGAGAGUCAGGAAAUUCGGACUCAGAAAACAUGUUUAUUAGUAAAUAAUUGAAAUGUCUUCCUGUUGUUUUCCCCAACACAUUCAUAAUUACUUUUGCUGAUGCUUUGCUGCAAGACUAUUGAGUCCAUCUGAGUGUAGAACUCUUCAUCUGCUGAGAGACACUAAACACAGUCGAGCAGUCGAGUAGCAUGGUCUGGUGUUGUUUCCAUUAGUACCGAGCAGCAAUUUUUAAUCACUAAUUGAUGGAUGUCUAAAAUAUAAAAAUAAGGAGGUCAAAACAGGCUGCAUCUGAACUAUGACUUGAAAAUUGUCCAGAAGCCCAGCCAAGGGACAUAAAAAAAGUCGGGGCCUUUUGGUCUAGGGCUUAAAUGCUGGCCUUUAUGCAGUAUUACCCGUCAGUUUUUUACUUUUACUUUCUGUAGAGUCAAUUGACAUAUACAGUCUUGAGCACUCAUUGCUUGCUUGACUCCUCCAAAAUAAUAUCAACUAUUUAUAAGCCACUUAUUAGUCACUUUUUAAAAAUUGCUUUUCCACUGUUAAUGAGAGUGAUAAUGAGAGCUCAAAAACAGGAAACAAUUAGAAAAUCCUUCUGAUGGGGCUGUAGCCUCGUCAAGCCUGGGUCUGGCUGGUUUCAGGAGCUGCAUGAUAUCGCUGCAAACGUUCUUGAAUGAGAGUCUAGCGUUUGCUGAGUAAGUAUGUCUGCUGUUAAAUAAAGUUCAUCUUGUCGAAAUGAUUCUGCGAUAAAGCUAUCGGUAUGAAACUAACACCAUGUCCGGUUUCUUUGUCUGAUCUAAUCUUUUAAUCUUUAAUUAUCACUUUUGUUCUUACAAUGGUCCCUGUGAGACUCAUGCGAUAUAAACACCCACAGCAGCUCACAUGCUCAAAGCAUGAAGAUUCAUCUCAUUUAGUUCAUCUCUGAAACUGUUCGUUUCUGGAAGAAGGGAGAAAUAAUUCUGUGAGCUGUGAAAUAACAGAAAAAGGCAGCUGAAAGGAAUAUGAAUUUACCUCAAGAUGCGACGCACAAACUGCCCCAGCCAUGGAGAGAUCUUCUGAAUGAUGAUCAGAUACCUGCUCCACAGAUGAAUCCCCAUCCUUUCACUCGAGGGUCUUUAAACUGUUUACUUCUAGGAGCGCUGUACCAACAUCAGAUGCUCAACUAAACUGAAGUUCUCUGAUAAAACAAGCUUGACUACUGAUCAUGGCUAUUUUGUUUCUUGAAUCCAUAGAAAGAAGCAGCAGUAUAAUUCAGUAGACUGAUGGAUCAUUCACUGAAUAUUAAUGGCCAUUAUCAGUUAUCAAGUCCAGACAGAGUUGAGGGAUCCUUCAGCCAUGACACCGAUAGAGACUGGCAGACCCAUGCUGAAUCUGGGAGACAGAUGGUGGGCUGAGGGUGAGCAGCAGUGGAAGAGACAGGAACAGGUUGGAGGGCAGGAUGUUCUCCUCUGGGCCUAACAAAUAAGGGCGCUCUUGCAGCACGGUCCCCGGAGGGUGCUCUUAAGAAGCUUCACUGGAGAGCACAUAUGGGCACUGGAAUUGGUCGCCCCUUGAUGACAUGUUGUAACAUAUCGGCCAGGCUCUAUCCUCACCCAGUCACAGAGAGCACAAUCUGCAUUGCUAAAGUCAAAGUUCACUUACCUCUUGUGUUCCCUCCAGUUCAUCAGGUGUCUCCAGUGAUCCUCCGCUCUCAUUUGCUGAAGUGUGUCCUCAUCUAUUUAACCCAGAGGAUUACAAAAGACUAUUACUCAUCAAUCAUCCCCAGUCAAACUUCACAAGUCUCCACUUAGCCUCCGGUUGAAGUUCGUAACUAAUUUGUGUGUUGAAAUAAACAACUUUUGUAUACCUGUUGUCUGGGGCCCUUCUGUUGCAUAUAUUUAAUGAACCUAAAUAAAAAGUGUUUGACAGUCGGUUUAAAAAAAAAACAUAUACUCUCAAAGUCAAAGGCUUGUAACAAAUGUCGUGGAGCCUUUGAGAUGCAGCAACAAAGGGUUGCAUAUGUCUGUAUAAAUUGAGAUUAUUGAGGUUUAUAUAAGGUUUUUUUUCCUCAUUCUGUAUGGAUGGGGUUUUGGUUCCUUGCCGCUGUCGCCUCUGGCUUGCUUUGUUAUUAUUUUUAUAAUCUGAAACAUACAUUUAAGUCAUUACUUAGUGGCUAGAAUCACUUUUUUAUAUGUAACACAAAGUUUUGCUGUGUGACUUUUAUUUGGACAUAAUAAAAUCACUAUUACUGUAUAACAUCUAAAAUGUAUAAUAUUUUGCUAAAGUUCCACUUCCUACUGAAGUAUUAAUUUGUUCAGUCAUACACAGUCAGAAAGUGUCUAAAUUAUACACAAAGUCCAAUUUAGGAUAGCCUAAAAAUUCAUAGAAAUAUUACAGUAAUAAUGCAAUUUCAUAAAUAAUUUUGACAGGCAAAAGGCUUGACAACUCUAAAGAGAGCAAAAGUGGGUAUUUCUCAAUUUCUGGGCGUUUUCAAACCGCUGGGUGUUUCUCAUUAAUCCAAUCAAAAUGAUCCUUCAAACCUACCCUCUCUAUGACGUCAGCCAAUCAGGUACAUAGUGUAAAAAUGCCCUUAUUCAAAACAUUUCUCAAAAAUACUGAAAAUAUUAUUCUGACCCCAAAUAUAAGAGUGUACAUAAACCCCAAAAACAGAGGUGGGUGGUAACGAGUUACAUUUACUAAUACUUUUAGAGUAUAUUAGAGUAUAUUGAAAGUAAUUUUGUGAAAAACUUAAUGCAGAAUAAGUUAAAAAUGCUUUUGUUUUUUUAAAGUUGCUAUUCUGUAAAUGUCAAAUGAGUCACCUUUAUUUAUAUAGCGCUUUUAACAAUACAUAUUGUGUCAAAGCACUGAACACUAUCAAAUAUUGGAGAGUGUCAGUAAUGUAUAAAGACAAGAUGAAACACUUAAUCUUUAGCUAAAGGCAUUUCAUUAUUGAAUGCAGACACGUUAUUGUCUAGAUCAGCCCAAUUUCAGUAGGAUCUUUGUAAUCAAAUUGAUGAUAAUCACUGUGUGAAAAGUGUUGCCAACUAAGCAAGCCAGAGGCAACAGCAGCA